rnacentral:snRNA from 1 species
GUCCUAGUUUACUAGGACAUAUACUAAAAUUGGAACGAUACAGAGAAGAUUAGCAUGGCCCCUGCGCAAAGGAUG